rnacentral:rRNA from 1 species
AGUCGAGUUGUUUGGGAAUGCAGCUCAAAAUGGGUGGUAAACUCCAUCUAAAGCUAAAUACAGGCGAGAGACCGAUAGCGAACAAGUACCGUGAGGGAAAGAUGAAAAGAACUUUGGAAAGAGAGUUAAACAGUACGUGAAAUUGCUGAAAGGGAAACGCUUGAUGUCAGUCGCGUUGGCUGGGGAUCAACCUUGCUUUUCGCUGGGUGUACUUCCCGGUCGACGGGUCAGCAUCAGUUUCAGUCAUCGUACAAGGGCGAGGGGAACGUGGCACUCUCCGGAGUGUGUUAUAGCCUUUCAUCAUAUGCGGUGGUCGGGACUGAGGAGCUCAGCACGGCUUUGGCUUGUGCUCAGGAUGCUGGCAUAAUGGCCUUAAGCGACCCGUCUUGAAACACGGACCAAGGAGUCUAACAUGCCUGCGAGUGUUUGGGUGGUAAACCCGAGCGCGUAAUGAAAGUGAAAGUUGAGACCUCUGUCAUGGAGGGCAUCGACGCCCGGACCUGAGUCUUUGACGACGGAUCUGCGGUAGAGCAUGUAUGUUGGGACCCGAAAGAUGGUGAACUAUGCCUGAAUAGGGUGAAGCCAGAGGAAACUCUGGUGGAGGCUCGUAGCGAUUCUGACGUGCAAAUCGAUCGUCGAAUUUGGGUAU